UUUCCCAUCUUCCUUAUUUGUUUCUCUCUCUCUUUUCUUCUUUUUCCUUCGUGUUCUCCAUCCUUUCUCACUCACCGACUCUAAUUCCCAUCCCUUCUCGAUUUUUCUUUGUUGACCUUCUCUCUCUCUGUCUUAAGAAGUGACUCCCGACGGGGCAGCAAUUUGGGAUCUUGUGACAAGCAGUCAGCUGUUCAUGGUUCUGUUUCUGUUGUAAUAUCAGUUCUCAAGGGUCCUGUAAGAAGCUGUCCUCACUUCAAGAAAACAGCCCAACAGAGUGAUGCUAAAAAGCACCAGACGGCUCAAAAAAAUUACAAGUAUGAUCAGGAACCCCUAUGCAUUAAAGUCAGCAACCCAAUCACAAGUGAAAUGCAUUAAUUCAGCUAGUGCAGGAAGGAAGAAGUGACUCCUGACGGGGAAGCCAAUUUGGGAUCCUGUAAGAAACUGUCCUCACUCCAAGGUUUGCUCUACCCUGUGAAUAUCAACUUCGUUUAUACUUUUGGUUUGCCUCAAUUAAGUUUCACUGACAAAGCCAACGUAGUUUCACUGACUGCUGAGAUUAUUGAACUGGAGCAUGCACCCCUCAGCAACCA